rnacentral:lncRNA from 1 species
ACGUUACUGUACACUGUGGGACCGCCACACAGGUCUCAUUUGACCAGAAGUUCUGUUUGAUGCUGCCGGUGACAUCAUUGCGCUUUCUGAUGGCUGACGGGGCCUAGAAAGUAAUUAUAGGCCUUUGGGGACUCUCUCAGUCUAUGAUACUAAGAGCCAAUUUUCUUAGGCUAUGUGGUCUAGCUGCAGUGGAGGGCUCAGUCUUGGAAGCUUCAGUCUGUUGAUCUACGAUCUUAAAGGAAGGAGAGUUGGUUUCCGGAAAACCAAUACAGCACUGGGACUGAGCCCAGGCCCACUCCAGAGCAGAAAACAAUUACAUGCAGCAGCAGAACACUGAACAACGUUGGCCUUUCUCUCUCCACCUCUUCCCUCUUAGCAGGACAUCAUGAUACAUUGGUGCCUGCUACAGAGCAAACCUUGGCCCCUGAUGUCUGUCUCCUUCUUCCAGGUCUAUGGGCUGCUGGACAACCUGGUGAUAGACAUGAUGGUCCUAGCAGAUGAGCUCGGCUCCGAAAAGAAUGUUGAAGAGCCUUUACGUUUUUGUACCUGAUUCUUGGGCCCAAGCUUCCUCCUGGAAAGGUGGUUUGAAAAAAAGUCAAUAAAGAAUCUUUAGGUUUCAACCAUU